rnacentral:lncRNA from 1 species
AACCUGGGUUUUCGACAAUAGCCAAUACUGAGGUUGUUUUUUGCGAAAAUGCAUUUUCCUUGCCCCUUUUUCACGCUUCUUGGGAUAGCUUCUUGCAGAAAGAUAAUUGUUUCUCAGAAUUUCUAGUUUUCUUUCUUGCAGUAUAUGGUAAAUCAGUUUGCGAGCAGCUACAGCAUCUGAGGAAAAAAUGAUUCAAACUUUUUUAGAGGUGCAUUAUUUCUGUAUAACUGCACAACCAUCCUUUUCAGUUGAGCAUAUAUUUUUCUGAAUUUUAUUGCCGAUUCUGUUUAUUUAUAACAAUUGGUUGUUUGCCACUUUCCCCUCUUUCUCCUCUUCUUCUCUGGAUCAGUGGAUCUCUUUAGCUUUUGAUGAAAAUUGGCAUUUCAUUUUUUAAAUGCUAUGUUCUCUACUGCACAAGGAAAACAACA